rnacentral:rRNA from 1 species
UUAGUGGCGGACGGGUGAGUAACGCGUGGGUAACCUGCCUCACACUGGGGGACAACAGUUAGAAAUGACUGCUAAUACCGCAUAAGCGCACGGAAUCGCAUGAUUCAGUGUGAAAAACUCCGGUGGUGUGAGAUGGACCCGCGUCUGAUUAGCUAGUUGGUGAGGUAACGGCCCACCAAGGCGACGAUCAGUAGCCGGCCUGAGAGGGUGAACGGCCACAUUGGGACUGAGACACGGCCCAAACUCCUACGGGAGGCAACAGUGGGGAAUAUUGGACAAUGGGGGAAACCCUGAUCCAGCGACGCCGCGUGAGUGAAGAAGUAUUUCGGUAUGUAAAGCUCUAUCAGCAAGGAAGAAAAUGACGGUACUUGACUAAGAAGCUCCGGCUAAAUACGUGCCAGCAGCCGCGGUAAUACGUAUGGAGCAAGCGUUAUCCGGAUUUACUGGGUGUAAAGGGAGCGUAGACGGCAAAGCAAGUCUGAAGUGAAAUGCCGGGGCUUAACCCCGGAACUGCUUUGGAAACUGUUUAGCUAGAGUGCAGGAGAGGUAAGCGGAAUUCCUAGUGUAGCGGUGAAAUGCGUAGAUAUUAGGAGGAACACCAGUGGCGAAGGCGGCUUACUGGACUGUAACUGACGUUGAGGCUCGAAAGCGUGGGGAGCAAACAGAAUUAGAUACCCUGGUAGUCCACGCUGUAAACGAUGAAUUACUAGGUGGUGGGGACCACAGGUCUUCGGUGCCCGCACCAAACGCAAUAAUUAUUCCACCGGGGGAGACCGUUCGCCAGAAUGAAACUCAAUAGGGAUAUGACGGGGACCCCCACAAGCCGGUGGAGCAUGUGGUUUAAUACGAAGCAAACGCGAAGAUCCUUACCAAAUCUUGACAUCCCUCUGACAAUCUAUGUAAAGUAGACUUUCUUCGGAACAGAGGAGACAGGUGGUGCAUGGUUGUCGUCAGCUCGUGUCGUGAGAUGUUGGGUUAAGUCCCGCAACGAGCGCAACCCUUGCCUUUAGUAGCCAGCGGUUCGGCCGGGCACUCUAGAGGGACUGCCAGGGAUAACCUGGAGGAGGGUGGGGAUGACGUCAAAUCAUCAUGCCCCUUAUGAUUUGGGCUACACACGUGCUACAAUGGCGUAAACAAAGAGAAGCGAAACUGUGAGGUGGAGCAAAUCUCAAAAAUAACGUCUCAGUUCGGAUUGUAGUCUGCAACUCGACUACAUGAAGCUGGAAUCGCUAGUAAUCGCGAAUCAGAAUGUCGCGGUGAAUACGUUCCCGGGUCUUGUACUCACCGCCCGUCA